AAAAUCAUUUUCCUCUGGACUAUAGCUGCAUACUAUCACAGAACCUGUAAGGACAUCUAUCUUUACCAUAGAAAAUAAGGUUUGAAUUUACAGGUUAUUUAGACUUAAAAUGUGUCUUGUUAGAAGAACCAAAGAAAUAUGGUUGAAAAUAUGUUGGGUGUACCUCUGGCAAUACAGGAGUUAUGUCAACAGAUCUUUGGCAGGCUCGGAUUAGAGGUGCUCAGAUGCUAGCCCACGGAAUGAUUUGAGGUUCCCACCUAUGGAAAUGAAAAUGCAUAAAUGUCAUAACUCUUCAUGUGUGUCGCUGGGCAGGCAACUCCUGUUCCAUCCCUCACUCUGCCACCCGGGAUCUGAUGUGGUGUCACCGACCCAAUUAUCUAAUCUUUGUGUGGAUGCGUCCUCUUCCAGUGUGUUUUUCCUCUUGGAGAAGUGACCCACCUUGCACUGGCUGGUCCUAGGAUUCAUAUCAGAUUUCGAGGACCGCAAGAUUUGAUUCCUCCCUUCUUUCCAGUAUUUUAUGAUGAUUUGACACUGCUGAGAAACACCCAGGCACCUGUCGUUUUAUUACAGAUGCUACUGUGUCGCGGUAGCUCUUUGGAGGUAGUACAGCAAUAUAAUAAUCUUUUUGCCUUCUUAGUGUCUCCAUUUUUAAUAUGUUUUGGUUCCUAUGAUGCAUCUAUAUAAUAAGACUUCAAUAGAAAUAAUUGAAGAACAAAGUCAAGAAGAUGAAUUAGCAUCUUGUUCUAAUAUCUGUCACCUUAUGACCUUUUGUAUUUAUAAUUUUUGGUAAUUUAUAACUCAAUUUAUUUGCACUUUGACCUCUUUGUCUAUCAUAGCAAUAGCCAAAAUUAUAUUUGCCAUAUUUUGGUUGGAUCUUAAUUCAUAUCUCUGUUCUAUUGUAUAUGUGUCAGUGUCAUAACUUUUCUAUCAAGAAUAUUCCUAUCAAUGGUGAUGGAAAAUAACAUUUACAAAAUGCCUGCUACUUUGUACGAAUGCUUUUCUUUGGUCUUCACAGUAGCCUGAUGUUCUCAUCUCUAUUUCACAGCUGAGAAUAUGGUGACCCACAGAGGUCCAAGUACCCCACAAUUGGGAAGUGGCAGAGCCAGCAGUAAGCCGAGCUCUGGAGAGCGUGGCUGUGCUCUUUCCAGCGUAUCAAGUGGCUCUCUGAUGACAAGAUCUGUGUGGUAUUUGAAAGGAACAUUAGCAGGGAUAUGCUUAAGCUUGGCAAUGCCUUCUUAAUGAAUGCAACUCCCCACAUGUGUUCUCUGGUAUUUGCAGGUUGCAGACUGGAGAAGGUAUCUCUGAUUCUUACUUUUGUCAUCUGUGAAAGCAGCAUCAUAGGCAUUCUGCAGAACUCUCGCGCGAUCUGACGGAGGCUGCUAGCUGAUCUUGGCGAAUACCUCACAAACAACCCGAGACGGAAAUGAAGUUCCACUCGGAAGGCAGUCACAAUUCAGCGAUCUUAUCCCAGGCAUGCCUCCUCUUGGCGUCUAUGCCACAGACUCUGGGAAGCAGUUUACACAUUUACUCCUGUGCUUUUUAAGGAGCUUUUAUGAUCUGCCAAGUGGACAAAUGUCAACAGGCUUUAAGGAUCGGUUUACCAGGAUUUCUGUCUCUUGUGAACAGAUUACUGUAGCUUCGAAUAAAGCACGCGUAAGCAAGCCCCAGGGUCUUGAAGGAAAAUGCAGUACCCACCAGACUGGUUUGAGCAGGAGUUCUAGCACAGGUGCCUCCUGUCACCGUAAUUCCUGAAAAGCUAACACUUUCCUGCCAUUCAAAUGUUAUGGAAAGGUCCCCACAGCGCCUUUCUGUACUGCCUGUGUGCAGGCAGGUAAGAAGGGGGCUAGGUAUUAGCACUCAUGGGCUUGUGGCUCUUGUAGGUAUAGUGGUUCCCAUAUGUUCCUGCUAUGCUUUCUGGUGGACUUGUAAAUGGCACUGAUCCUGGAGACCUUGAACUUGUCAGUCUAGUCUCAGGACGGCAUCAAUUCUCCGAACCAAGUAGCAGAAGUGGAGUUAUCAACGGCUAGUGGGAAUUGGGCUGAACAUCUCUGUAAAGCCUCUAGAUUUCCAGCUUGCUCUUCUUUGUAAGAAGAAAAACAAUGUCACAUCAUGACAAGUGUGUCAUUUCGUUUCUAUGUUGUGGAAGUCCGUGAGCUUCGAGUCUGGUCCUUCUUGAUUUUACUCUUCAAGUGAUGAGAGAGAAGAUGGGCUCUCUUUCUUCUUCUGCCUUUUCUCACAACGAUACUCCUGACUCAGCCACUAGAAUAGGGACCAGACACCCAUUCCUAUUUGGAAGAAUGGACAAAGAAGAAACCAAAGGGACUCAGGCUCACCCUGCCUCUGCCCAGAGCUACCAUUAGAACUAGCAGGCAGAUUGUCUCUGUGUCUGUUUAUCAGCCCAGGACUAUUGGGAUUACCAGGCUAGUUCAACUAUUUAUUCUCUUCCCAGCAUUGAGUGCUGGGUUAAAAUGUGCCCAGAAACCCACAGCUCUCUAUGUGGGUUCAGCUUCACCCAUCUAUGUAAUGUAGCUUUGUGUCCAUAAUUACAUCUUCUAUGCUCUCGCUUUCUAAUUUUAAAGAAAUAACGCAAUUUCUGUUUAGAAACAGAGUACAAAUGUGAAAAGAGUCCCCUUCCUAAGUUUGUUAGAAAGGUGCAUUUAGAAGCAUACAAAAACCUCACCCAGAACCUAGAACACAGGCUUCCCACUCAUAAAACCCCUGCAGGCUCCUUUCCCAUCUGAGGGAACACAGGAUAGCAGUUCCUGCCUGUGUGGGCCGCUGACAACUCCCACUGACUCUUUCAAAGCACAUUCUAAACCCUGCUGGACUUGCCCCAGACAUAUGACAUGGCUGAUCAGGCUGAACUGUAGCUUUCAGCUCUGCCUUCAAUCGGUUCCCCUGUGUAGACAUUCUGUGUGAUACCAACCCUCCACUUAAGGGAGAAAGAGGCUGUUUGGGCAUGGGUAUUAUUUCCUUAAAUGCAGAAUAGAACGGCAGCAGCAGGAUAUUUCAGUGAAAUAUCUCCUUUGAACUGUCCUAUUCAUUUGCUCUUUUAUGAAUUCACAGCUAGGGGUUUCCAGCGGAUCCAUUUGAUUGCUCUCAUGUACAGAGUGUAGAGACAGCAAAGAGGGGAUUCCUGUAGAUUCUUAACUUAUUAACAAAGGCUGCUAUGACUGUGGCAAGCCCCCAAACUGACAGCCAGUUUCAGUCCUUUGUAGGGGUUAAGAGAGGUGGACAAGCUGGGAGAGAGGAGUAGGAAGUUUUAAUAGAGACACCGAAUCUGCAGAGCGAAGGAUCAGGAAGCACUAGGGGGAAGAGAGGCAUCACUCAGAGACUGGAAGACCUUGGCUCAUCCUGCAGAUCCCUGUUAGAGUGAAUGCUCUGAGUUCUGAGAAUCCGCUGCUUCUCUUAUGCCCCGAGUCCAAGCUUCAGGAUACCUCAGGCUUGGGGUGGUCAACUCUGUGCUUGUGAGCAUACCUCAUAACUUACUUUGUGGUUAUUUUAAUUUGUUAAAAGGCCACACAUGACAAUACUGAUGCCUAUACAUCAGCAGGAUUGUUUUGAGGUUGUCCCUUCUAAAUGGAGGGCUGUAAAAUAAACAAUGCCCUUAUCAACACUUGUUUUCAGUGGGAAUCUCUAAUAGGAUAUUCUUAAUUUCACAUGGUGGGGGAUUUUGGAGAUAGAAAUGAAAAAACAACAAAAAAGCCUGGAGAGAUGGCUCAGCAGU